rnacentral:tRNA from 1 species
AAUUAUUUGGCCGAGUUUAGGCAGGUACUUUGAAAGUACCCUACAGAGGUUUAAUUCCUCUAAUAAUUU